rnacentral:rRNA from 1 species
UGCCAGCCGCCGCGGUAAUACGAAGGGUGCUAGCGUUGUUCGGAAUUACUGGGCGUAAAGAGCAUGUAGGCGGAUGAAUUAGUCAGAGGUGAAAGCCCCGAGGCUCAACCUCGGAACUGCCCUCAAUACUACCAGUCUCGAGUUCGGGAGAGGUGAGUGGAAUUCCUAGUGUAGAGGUGAAAUUCGUAGAUAUUAGGAAGAACACCAGUGGCGAAGGCGGCUCACUGGCCCGAUACUGACGCUGAGGUGCGAAAGCGUGGGGAGCAAACAGGAUUAGAUA